rnacentral:rRNA from 1 species
AGUGUAGGCGGUCUGCUAAGUCGGGUGUGAAAGCCCUGGGCUCAACCCAGGAAGUGCACUCGAAACUGGCAGGCUAGAGUACUGGAGAGGUUGGUGGAAUUCUCGGUGUAGAGGUGAAAUUCGUAGAUAUCGAGAGGAACACCGGUGGCGAAGGCGGCCAACUGGACAGAUACUGACGCUGAGACUCGAAAGCGUGGGGAGCAAACA